UGACUCGUGGUGUAAUGGUAACACAACUGGUUUUGGUCCAGUUUUUCAAGGUUCGAGUCCUUGCGAGUCAA
rnacentral:tRNA from 1 species